UUAAAUGUGUUUUAUGAACGCGAUUUUAGGAAGGAGAGGGCAUCCAGAUGCCGCAGCAACCACUCUCCAUUUAAGCAAAGCAGGCGUCCCAGAAAGGGACUGAUCAGAGGUCAACGGGAGCUACACGCCUUUCGAGCACAACUGGUGUCGCGGGGCAUGCUGGGAAGCAUGUUUCUUGUGCCUGGAGCCCUCUGGGUAGUGUAGUCCUGGUGCCUGCUGGGCACAGGGGUGGGAGGUGCUCCCCAGCUGGAGGCUGGAGCAUCCCUUGUCCUUUGGAAUUCCAUUUUCAAAACCAAAGCUCAUCACCCAGCUAGAGCAAGGGACAGAGACAAGGCGAGAAGAGAGGAAACGUUCACAGGCUGCCGGUCAAGGAAAUGGAACCCUUAGGUAUCCUGAAUUGACUGGUCACAAAAACUUACUGCUUGGAAGAUAAGGGCAUAGCUCCAAGACUCUUCAGGCCUUUGAAACAUUAAUUACCUGGCCCAGCGACCACACAAAGUGACUUCAGUGAACGCCAAAGCAAUCACUAAAUAACAUUUUGAUACCUGAGCCAGAGAAUCUUGUUUUGACGUCUUUGUGGAGUGCAAUUCAGAUAGAAGUGUAGGGAAACCAACAGAAACACCCAGCUAGGCAGUCUGAUUUUCUUUUUCAUCCAGAUUCACUCCAAAAGUUGUUUUUACACUAAAUGUACACAUCCAAGUUUUUUUUAAAAGGUGGCCCAGAAACACAAUUAGGUCUUUCUCUUUUCUUUUUAACUUCAUGUAUUCGAAUGUGUUUUGCCCAAGUGUAUGCCCGUGUGUCACAUGCAUGCCUGGAGCCCUCUGAGGCCACCAGAGGGCACCAGGUAACUGGAACGGGAGUUAUAGGUGGUUGGUUGUGAGCCACACUGGGUGUUGGGAAUUGAACCCCGUUCUCUGUGACAGCAGUCAUUGCACUUAACCUCAGGAGUAACUAACUGCCUUGGUCCCGGGAUGGCAGUUCUUCAUCCACAUUUGCAUACUAGGAUUAUCUGGCUGUAAUAGCAUACUAUAUUUCCUUCCCAAAAUAUUCUUGAAAUUAGGACUUUUUAAUCCCAAUCCACCAAGUCUUUUGAAAAUAAUUAUGCCAGAGUUUUAAAAAUGUGUGUGUGUGUGUGUG
rnacentral:lncRNA from 1 species